UCAUUCUCAAACCCUAGCAGCAACAACACCAACUCUAGCCGAUCUCUGCAAUAGCGUCGGCUCCUGCUUCUGAAAACCAAAACCGCACAAACCUGGCCUCCAUUUCUGUAACUCGGAGCUUCGUCUCUCUGAGUCUAACUCCGAAUAUCAACAAGUCGGCGAGAAGCCGAGCUUAGCUCUUUCUAUAGCUCCGUUCUCUCCCAUGGCCAGGUAUGCCCUCUUUCUCUCACUCUCUUGCACUCACAAGCUCACGUUUUGAAAACCUAGCUCCAAAGCUCUAAAGCUCCAAGUUAAGGACUUUUUGAAUGCUAAUAAAAUAUAGGAGGCAGCAAAGAAGUUGAAAUUUCAAUUUUUUUUCUUGUUUUUUGGUUGGAUGAGCAUUUAGAUGGAGUGAACUCUGCUAGAAGUGAGAACUGGGCUUACCCCAAUUUUUAUUUUUCAGUUAAAGAACAUGGUGAUUAAUUUCCGCUCUUUUGUUCGGGCAUGAAAUUGGAGGCUGAAUUAUUAGGAUGAUUUGGUAAAUUACAGUGAAACCUUUGCUACUCGAUGUAUGUGUAUGCAUGAUAUGUGUAUGUGUGAUUUUAGAUUGUAAUGUAUCACAAUUUCGUGGCAUGAAAAUUGACAUUUUUAGACUUACCCUGUGGUGAGAUUUUUGCAUGAUUUUUUUUUUGGGGGUUUGUGGGGUUUUUUUAGAGAUUUAUCUGUGAAAGCAUUGUUAUAUGAUUUUUUUUAAUGUGGGUUUUGAUUGUUUGGUUAUAAUUUUGGGUAUCUGUUUUGGUUUUUUGAAUCGGUUUUUGUGUAAGUCAAAGUUUUGUGGAUGAUCGUUGGUUCUGAACGAAUCGAGUUACAUAUAUGGCUUUGCUUCCCAUCUACUGAAAAGGUUACCCUUCUUCUCUCUACAAAUUCCCUUCUAACUGUCCGCACUUUUACAAAACCAAAAAACCAAUUUUAUAAAAUUUUGAUCACAUUUUUCUUCAGAUUACAGAGAGAGAAAGGGUUGUAUAUUUUUUCUAUAUUCAGAGAGAGAGGAUUUGAGGUGGGUGGAGUGAUGAGUGUUUAGGAUUUUUUAUGGGAGGGAUGAGAAAAGAGUAAAAACGAUCAGGAAAA